UACGUAGGGCGCAAGCGUUAUCCGGAAUUAUUGGGCGUAAAGAGCUCGUAGGCGGUUUGUCGCGUCUGCCGUGAAAGUCCGGGGCUUAACUCCGGAUCUGCGGUGGGUACGGGCAGACUAGAGUGCAGUAGGGGAGACUGGAAUUCCUGGUGUAGCGAUGAAAUGCGCAGAUAUCAGGAGGAACACCGAUGGCGAAGGCAGGUCUCUGGGCUGUAACUGACGCUGAGGAGCGAAAGCAUGGGGAGCGAACAGG
rnacentral:rRNA from 1 species